rnacentral:rRNA from 1 species
ACGGGAGGCAGCAGUGGGGAAUAUUGGACAAUGGGGGAAACCCUGAUCCAGCGACGCCGCGUGAGUGAAGAAGUAUUUCGGUAUGUAAAGCUCUAUCAGCAGGGAAGAUGAUGACGGUACCUGACUAAGAAGCCCCGGCUAACUACGUGCCGGCAGCCGCGGUAAUACGUAUGGGGCAAGCGUUAUCCGGAUUUACUGGGUGUAAAGGGAGCGUAGGCGGCCAGACAAGUCAGAUGUGAAAACCCUGGGCUUAACCCGGGACCUGCAUUUGAAACUGUAGGGCUAGAGUACUGGAGAGGCAAGUGGAAUUCCUAGUGUAGCGGUGAAAUGCGUAGAUAUUAGGAAGAACACCAGUGGCGAAGGCGACUUGCUGGACAGAGACUGACGCUGAGGCUCGAAAGCGUGGGGAGCAAACAGGAUUAGAUACCCUGGUA